ensembl:lncRNA
AUGCAGUCAGCCACACACAAGAACAUAUGCACAAACACACAAACACUCACACACACAUACACACGAACGCACACACACACACACACACACACGCACACACGCACACACGCACACACACAAACACACGCACACACAAACACACACACACACACACACACACACAGACAUUCACAUAAAUAUAAACCAGAGGUGUAUAUAAUGGUGGGCUUGGUGUCCGAGUGGUUGCUAGGGAACGGGCGGUCCCCUCAGUUAACGACUCAUUGCUCUUAUCCUCUUUCUAAUUGCCCCACUCACUUGCUGUCAUCGGCUGAUUAUGCGCACAGACAGAGGCCAACCUGUCUUCACACGCCCACAUCCUGCGGAAGAACGCCAUACAUGGGCGUGACCUGCCCCACCAGAGUCUCAAUGGGAGACGCGGAGAGGCCGACGUGGCCGGUGCCUGCUUCCUGGUGAUAUCGUCCAGCAGGAACACCCAGUGCACCAGUUAUCCAGAAAUACCUCUGGCAGGAAGACGCUCACGUUUGGCAGAAGAACAGCACUGACCGGCUCGCUCUCCAGUAUAACAGGAGUGCACACUGUCUCACUGUCGCACCUUCGGGGAACGUGUCGCUGCAGUUAGACGAUCAUCUACUCCAGAUCGACGGUUGUUAUGGAGAGCCAACACAAAGCCGCCCUACUAUCUGGCUGCUGGGCCCGGGCCACCUACAGAGGGGGAGUGACGGCGGCGUGGCACUUGGAUGAUAGCACUCAACAAUGCAGGGAGGACUUUUCCAUGUGCUCAUGGACUUUUCCAUCUGCUCCCCCCCCACACACACAUACACUCUUCUCUAUGCACUGACAAAUCCACAAUCAGACUCACAUAGGACAUGAAGUGUAGUCACUCCAAGGUGUGGCCAUGGAAGCUGGACUUGAAGUGUGUUUGUGUGUGUGCGUGUGCGCGUGUGUGCGCAUGUGUAUUCAUGCGUGCACGGGUGCAUCUGUGUGUGUUAGAAGCACACACACACACACACACACACACACACACACACACACACACACACACACACACACACACACACACACACACACACACACACACACACUCACACUCACACACAUGUGUGGGAGGGGGGGUGGGGGAGAUUUGUGCGUAUCAUCAAAUAUAAACCUCCAAAUUGAGGCUAAUCCUAACAAUAACAGACACUGGAAACAGACCUGGGCUUCUCUGGCGCUCUGUGUGUGAUGUCAUGGUGUCUGCUCCGUAUGCUGCGUCUUAUUUGGAAAUUGAAAACAUUUUGGGACAUGAUUGUGAGGAUGUGUCUGGAAAUGUGUCUGUAGAUUAUUUGACAAAAGGGUUAUAGGUCUCCACUCUAUGACGAGAGGAGAUUUCUAAGAAAGAAUAUCAGUCGUCAAGUGAUGGCUAAUGCGCAAUCGGGUGUGGAGGCUAAGCAAGGCCACCAUGAUAAAAAAACAAAGCUACACUAUAGUAAGUGAGGCCGUAAUCUGUCGAAUGUUUAGCUUGGCGUGCCGCCGCAACACACACAUCUGUAUUGAAGCGUAUGCGUCUGUAUUGUGCACGUGCAUACGCUGUGGGCCCAGCUCUCAAACGAAUGCAUCGUUAGGCGUGACCUGGAGUUUACACAGAUUAUCUUGUUUUUCUAAGGCGUGCCUCUCUGUGUCUUGUGUCUUGAUUGUUAUUAGUCAAAGGAAGUGAUAUAGGAUCACCUUUUCAAUCCCAUUCUUCCUGGCUGGAAUGUUUGACGUCGCACGGAAUUCGAAAGUGGCUGCUUCUUGAUAUCGCUGUUGUGGUACACAGUGAAUCACAGAAGGGACGGGAUACGUUUGAGGAUAACUGUAUUGUGCUGUGAUUUGUUUGUUUAUCGCAUAGAGCACACAUCAGCCUUCAGCCUUCAGCUCCAUUCAGUCCAGAACAGUGGACGCUUCAAAUUAAGUUUUGUUAUGGGAAUAAACAAUUCGUUAAAAUAGAUGUUAAAUAAUUCCUAAUAAUGAUUAUUACAUGAUUAUAAUGACCAUGAAUAUUUCAAUACAUCACACGUUGAUUCUGAGAAAAUGUAUUAUUCACCAUCCACACACACACACACACACACACACACACACACACAUACACACGCACACACACACGCACACACACACACACGCACGCACGCACGCACGCGCGCGCACGCACGCACGCACACACACACACACACACACACACACACACACACACACACACACACACACACACACACACACACACACACACACACACACACUUAUCAGCAGCAUCAGCUGGUAAGAAGUAAUUUUACUGAGGGAAACAUCAAAGCAAAUCUGGGGGACUUUUGGACUAACAUGUAAUGUUCAGGCUUCGUCAACGAAAGCUGGUGUAGAUGUUGACCUACAAUCACCUCUUGUCACGAAACCUAACACAAACAGCUUGGAAAUGUACCUCCUAGAAACCUCAAUGGACCCCACAGCAUUUUCUGGAUCCUGAGGUGUUUGGCUCCCUCAAGUGGCGACAAUUCAACAGUCGAAUCCAAUAAAUCUGACGAGAUCAUGUUUUUAUUUUGUUGUUUUCAUUUUUCUUUUAUUUUUUUUUACAAUAUUACAGUUUUCAGUUAUACUGCCAUAGGCCAACAUUCACACCAAAUCCAUUGUUGUACCCACUGUCAAUUAUUGUACAACCCAUUUUAUAUAUAUGCCUAUAGACCUACUGUCUUAUUUGACAUUUAGCUUAGACCUUGUAGUUAAUUGUGUCUUUAUAUUAUUAAUUGAUUGAUUCGCUCACGAUGAAACUUGGAGUCUGUGUACUAUUAUAGGCUAAUGAUCUACCUCAUGAAAAUAGACCCUUUUCAGAGAGGGGUCAUUGUUGGACAAACACAGGUGUCUGUCAUCCCACUAAUUAUGGGUCUGCCACUCUUGUACCAUGUACAAGCCUGGCAUGCUUUGAGACUACAGUGAAGAUAAGUCCUGCCCUGGUAUAUAAAACAGACCCAUGACAAUGUUAUGAACAACACUUGAGUCUGUCCUACGAUGACGCCUCUGUAAAAAGGUUAUAUUAGUUCAACACCUCAGCUCCUUUGAGGGACUUCUAUAAAGUUUACACUUGAUGACGGCCGUUUAUGGUCACAUCUAUGUCAUUUUGACUAUUUAUGAGAUAUUUGAGCAUAAUGGACAUGCUGCCUGAAUGCUAGUUCUAUUCAUGAUACAGUAUACUAUACACCAAGCACAUGUACACCUAGUCUCCUUGAUGAAAUGUGAUCCUUGACAGGUCUACACUGUUAUGGCAAAAACACAAACAACCUCAAGAAAAAAGGUUAUCAUCG